UAGACAGAUUAUUGUAUUCGACUGUAUUCACGGCGUCAAAUAGGGGAUUACACUGUUUUUAAAACGAAAAGUGAAUCAAUUAACCUAAUAGACUCCU
rnacentral:pre_miRNA from 1 species